UACAGAGGUCCCAAGCGUUGUUCGGAUUCACUGGGCGUAAAGGGUGCGCAGGCGGUCGGGUAAGUCUGACGUGAAAUCUUCAAGCUCAACUUGGAAACUGCGUCGGAUACUAUUCGGCUAGAGGAAUGGAGGGGAGACUGGAAUUCUCGGUGUAGCAGUGAAAUGCGUAGAUAUCGAGAGGAACACCAGUGGCGAAGGCGAGUCUCUGGACAUUUCCUGACGCUGAGGCACGAAAGCCAGGGGAGCAAACGGG
rnacentral:rRNA from 1 species